AUUCAGAUAUUCACAUCUGUUUUUUGAUUUUCAUCAUGGAACCUGCGAAGCUCUCAAGCCUACCAGAGGGGGGGGGAUUGCUUCAUCAUGAUGCAUUACCUUAAUCAGGAUGCAAGUAGAAUCCGCAAUUCCCUUUACAUCAUUUCAUUGUCUUAGUUUAUAGAAAGAGAUUACCUUGGUUUGAGUAGGUGGUUUGUCAGAGCCCAUCCUGAGAUUAGGCAGUUUUAGAAUGUCCUUGUCACUGACCUGACAGACAACACCUUUUCAAUGGAUGUCAGAAUAGUGUCCAAAGAGGUCCAUUUAGAGGGAGGUUUUCAGGAAAUUUGUCAAAUGCACCACAUUGGCCAAACUGCUAGCGUGCAUUAUACAUACAAUGUGGCGGGUCAUUUCAACAUCCGGAUCUUUUAUGACGAGAACACGGAGGUGGCUUACGUAGUGGAAGAGGAGGAUGCUCCCAACGUGGAAGGGUUUUCGCUUGGGCAAACGAGCUCACUAAACCGUUGUGUACCGGGGAACAAGUUUUGGUAGUAUUUGUAACUCAGUGUUUUUACGUACUUCAAAUAGAUAUAUCUUUGAUAUUAUAGAUAAUUUUGUUUACUUUUUAUAACUAAUUCCUGCAAGUUAUGUGAAUGGCAGUCUACAACACAAACUUGCCUCACUCAAUAUUAUUUUGCCUGAUGGGGCUGUGGAUGAGUGGACGUAGAAAUGGGACAAGGGUAGGCCACGACAAUGUGUGUUUGGCUUAGGUUGGUAUGAGUUUGCCAAGGUGUAACAUUUCCGUGCUAGGGACGAGUUAUUAUUCUUUAAGAUGCCACAAGAGGACACCUAAAGGGUUGAAAUCAACCGCCGGUAAAUUGUGAGCUACUUAAGGGUUGUUCUUAAGUUUUUGUAGUUUAUCUCAAGACAAUAUCCAUUAAUUAUCGUUAGCAGUUGAAUUUGUUGUUCACGACGUGUUUAAUUUCAAGUUUUUGUUGUUAAGUUUGAUGAACUUGUGACAAG